CCUUGCCCAGUGCUGGGCGGCGCGUGGGGGGGGUAGGGUCCCCGCUUCCCCACGCGGCCCCGCGCACUCCAAGGACCCCAACCUGUUAGGUGAGUCCCUGCCCCGGGGAGGGGCGCUGGGGGCGGCGGCGAGGAUCUAGUUGCGCGCGCGCAUGCGCCUCCCGCCCCUCUCCCGGGACACCAGGGCUGCGCGUCUCCCAGGAGGCGCCGACGCCCCUCCCUCUACAGGCGGGAAAACUGAGGCUGCGGAGGGGACGCUCUUGCCCAAGGCCCACGGCGAGGUGGGCCGAGGAAGGGGCGGGACCCCGGCCCCGAGACUCCCAGGCGCCUUUCCAGCAAGCCCAGCGUACUCUGCGUGUCGCGGGCCACUUUAGGUCUAACUGUCGCGCGUGGGUUAGUGUCGCCGCGGUGUGCGCCUCGAGCCGGGCAGCGACCGCGCCGGCGUAUCUGUGCCUCGGCGCGUCUGCGAACGGCACGUGUCUUUACAGCCGCGCGUGUGCCCGCAAGUGGGUGUGCGCGCCGUGCCGCCCGGGAAGCGGGAGGUCCUGCGGGCGUGCGCCGGACCUGUUGUCAGCAGGCCUGGCAGAUGGGAACUCAGCUCCGGAAUUAAUUGCUUGUUUGUCUCCGGCUGGGAGGCCGCCCCCCCGCCCUUCCCUGGCGACCAGUUGCUCUGUGCCUAGCCGGGCCCCAAAUGUCGCCGGCAUCCGCGGCCGCAGGCAGCUCCGGGCCAGGCUCCGGGUCAGCCCCAAAGCCCGGGUCAAGCCAGGCGGGCGCGGCGGGCGGGCUCCCCGUGACGCGAGUGCCCCCUGCCGGCCGCUGCGCACACGGCUCCGAGACUGGGGAGACAGCGCCGCGCGUCCCAGGCCUGAGGCGCACUCGGAAACUCCGAAGGUCGUGACCCGGCGGAGACCAGGACACGCGGCUGCCGGCACAUACGGUGAGGCCUUCGCAGAGACUCACCUGGAGAAUGAAAACGGGCGUCAGCCCACAUCUGGAUCUGGGUACUGAGGACAACACCCAAACCCCACCCCGCACUGCCGGCAGACAGCACCGCCUCCCGCCGCUCCACUGCUCCGGGACACACACUCUCUAUAUCCCGUCCCCCCACCCACACACGCAACACAGAAGCACGCAGCGGUCGGGAGCACCGGUCCUGCGCCCCUGGCCAGCCACACCCGCAACUUCAGCGCUUCUACCGCCGCGGCGCUUCGGGAAGCACAAGCUCACAUCCCAUAUCCGCAGAACACGGGGUGCACAAGGCUGGAGUCACCUCGGGGGCUCACGAUCAGUCAGGGGCCCCGACCCCCUACUUCGCCCAUCCUAGCAAGGCGCAAGAAUCACCAUAAACGCUGGAUUUGCUGACCACAUGGCCGAUCGUGACCACCUGCUCUGUACUCACCCAGGCUUCUGGUCAGGAGAGAGGCGGGGAAGAGCUGCCCCCUCCCUGCGUCCACCAUCACUCCUGGCCUGGGAUCAGGUGGAUGGACGGCAGGUGGACCCGGGACAGGGACGGGCACGCAGUGUGCGGCACAGCCCCGUUGGCCUUUGCAGAGAAGGUUUAUGCUUAUGAAGGCGGGGACCUUUCCUGGGACAGACACAAGCAACAGGGCCCAGCUGCAGAGCAAGGGACCCCAGCCCUGGCCUCGGAGCCAGGAUGGAGCACGAACAAGGGUGGUCAGCUCUGAACUGAGGUCUGGGAGCCCAGCCAGGAUCCCACGGAUCCUGGCUAAGGGUUUGCUGAGUAGGGAGAGACUGGGGAUGCUCGCUGGUCAACAGCUGAUGGCUCCACAGACCUCACCCUGUGCCAGAGGAGCCCCAGGUCCAGCACAGAGGGACAGCCUAGGACGCGGCUUCAGCACCUUGGCCAGCAC
rnacentral:lncRNA from 10 species